rnacentral:rRNA from 1 species
GUUCGGAUUGUAGUCUGCAACCCGGCUACAUGAAGCUGGAAUCGCUAGUAAUCGCAGAUCAGAAUGCUGCGGUGAAUACGUUCCCGGGUCUUGUACACACCGCCCGUCACACCAUGGGAGUUGGGAAUGCCCGAAGCCGGUGGCCUAACCGCAAGGGACGGAGCUGUCGAAGGCAGGCCCGAUAACUGGGUGAAGUCGUAACAAGGUACC